GGCGGAUGUAGCCAAGUGGAUU
rnacentral:tRNA from 1 species